GACGAACGCUGGCGGCGUGCCUAGUACAUGCAAGUUGAGCGCUGAAGGUUGGUACUUGUACCGACUGGAUGAGCAGCGAACGGGUGAGUAACGCGUGGGGAAUCUGCCUUUGAGCGGGGGACAACAUUUGGGAACGAAUGCUAAUACCGCAUAAAAACUUUAAACACAAGUUUUAAGUUUGAAAGAUGCAAUUGCAUCACUCAAAGAUGAUCCCGCGUUGUAUUAGCUAGUUGGUGAGGUAAGGGCUCACCAAGGCGAUGAUACAUAGCCGACCUGAGAGGGUGAUCGGCCACAUUGGGACUGAGACACGGCCCAAACUCCUACGGGAGGCAGCAGUAGGGAAUCUUCGGCAAUGGACGAAAGUCUGACCGAGCAACGCCGCGUGAGUGAAGAAGGUUUUCGGAUCGUAAAACUCUGUUGGUAGAGAAGAACGUUGGUGAGAGUGGAAAGCUCAUCAAGUGACGGUAACUACCCAGAAAGGGACGGCUAACUACGUG
rnacentral:rRNA from 1 species